UUUCAGAGUCUUAUUGUCUUCAGGAGUUCGGGCAGGGGUAUGGAGAGUGUUUACAACUUGACAGGGAGAAAUUACAUGAACAUUAUUGCCUUAGAGAACACAGUAAUUAAAAAGAAUUUCGGUAAAAUACCUUGCAACACAAAAUUUUUUGCUUCAAAAGACAUAGGUUGUGAGGCUGUGAGCUUGCAUUAUUUCAAUUUUCAUUUCUAUUGUCACGAGCACCUAGUUGGCCAGGUACAUUGUGAGAACUGCUGAAAGCUGAAAUUGGCUGAAAUUAUGUGAAAACAUUUAGUCAAGAAUGCACUAAGAAUCAUUAGCGUAAGAUUGUGUGAUCUAUUACUAAAAAAUAGUUAACUUAUUAUCCGAUCUACGUUUUUUAACUUUUUAAUUUGUUUUGAAAUUUGAAGUAACGAACGAAGUGUCAUACUGUCAUGUGCAACUAACUAAAGAUUCAAAACUCAUUACUAGAUGUCGCCAAUGUCGCCCUUGUUGUUCUUACAUCGUGAAACGAAGAAAAAUGGAGGAAACAAUUGGUUGCUAAUUUAUACUUAUAUUCCUGUGAUUUCAAAUACCGAAUUUAACUUCAUAUCAAAUAUGCAUACUGUCAGUCUGUCAUUCAUUCCAAGUAGCGCUCAGUCAAUUUCCAUCCAUUAGAUCCUCAUGCUGUCAAAAGCCUAAAACUCAUGUUUGAAGCCCACAUAUAGUGGAAUACAAAUGUGCUGAGAAAAGGUAUUCUUGUUCAUGAACCAUAGGACUUUUCUGAAUCUCACAAUUUUGGUGGUGUAUUAACCUGCAACAUUAUGUUUGCUCUUAAGGCUGUUUCUACUUCUGUUUAGAAGGCAACCCAGCUGAGAGAUAGAGUUUCAGUGACAUGAAGAUUGUGAUGUGAAUAAUGCCGUGUGUAUGCAUACAUGUUCCUUCCAGUUCUGCUUGAUGCCUUACUAAAUUCGUCACCCAUAUGAUAAAGCAUCAGAAAAUUUAUCUAAACAUGUGGAGAAAUGCUGUUGGUUGCUGUGAAUUCCAUUUUUACGGCUUUUUUCAUAAUGAAUAUUGCAGUCUGCUUCUUAGAAAAGAGCACGUAAGAGAUCCUUAAGCCAAUGCUGUUCAUUGUCCAUGACGGAAGAGGGACUUCCACCUACGUUCUUUUACAUCCUUAUCUUCCCGACGUACGCUCAUCCAGCUUCACUGCUUCACUGCUUCUUAUAUGCUGCAAAACCACUUUUCUUGCUUCACUGGCGAGGCUGAUCACUUCAGUUGCUGUGACACACCUGCAAUCACUCACCACGGGAUUACGGCCAGGUAAUGCAGAGGUGACGUCAAGAAGAUGGAUUUUCUCAUCUUUAACAGUCGUCACCGGUCUCCGUCGGAUGUUCCCCCUGCUCCUGGUGCAAACGAAACUCAGUCGAAUCGCGACCGAUACCGAGACUCGUCAUCAACGUGGAUUAUCGUAUUAUUGGUAUUAUUUCGUUUGUGUUAAGUGUUAGUUAACCCGUUGGCUGCCACGCCUUUGUUCUCCCCUUCACGGGCCGUGCUGUUCGGUCUCGUGGUUUACAAGCCGGGGGAUCGGAAAGUCGCCAAGCCCAAAAUUUGCCGCAUGGUGCCUGUUAUAAGGCAAUGUGCCUUAGUCCCCCCCGUUGUCAGCACGGACUUGUCAGCAAUGGCAAGUCCCACCUUGGUCAUAAAUACU